rnacentral:rRNA from 1 species
GACGAACGCUGGCGGCGUGCUUAACACAUGCAAGUCGAACGAAAAGACGGAAAGAGCUUGCCCUUUUCAGAAUUGAGUGGCAAACGGGUGAGUAACACGUAAACAACCUGCCUUCAGGAUGGGGACAACAGACGGAAACGACUGCUAAUACCAAAUAAGUUCCAAGAGCCGCAUGGCCCAUGGAAGAAAAGGUGGCCUCUACCUGUAAGCUAUCGCCUGAAGAGGGGUUUGCGUCUGAUUAGCUGGUUGGAGGGGUAACGGCCCACCAAGGCGACGAUCAGUAGCCGGUCUGAGAGGAUGAACGGCCACACUGGAACUGAGACACGGUCCAGACUCCUACGGGAGGCAGCAGUGGGGAAUCUUCCGCAAUGGGCAAAAGCCUGACGGAGCAACGCCGCGUGAGUGAUGACGGCCUUCGGGUUGUAAAACUCUGUGAUCCGGGACGAAAAGGCAGAGUGCGAAGAACAAACUGCAUUGACGGUACCGGAAAAGC